CUAUGCCUUAGCACCCUGAGCACCUGAGCUCUUCUGAUAUCGGAGACUGAGCAGGGUCAGGCAUGCUUAGUACUUGGAUGGGAGACCAGUGAGGAAGGAAGUAUACUAGCAUAGC
rnacentral:rRNA from 1 species